rnacentral:rRNA from 2 species
GGAAAGAUGAAAAGAACUUUGAAAAGAGAGUUAAACAGUACGUGAAAUUGUUGAAAGGGAAACGAUUGAAGUCAGUCAUACCAACGGGAAAUCAACCUUUUGAGCUUUGUCUCGUGGGUUCGAAGAGUUUUAAACGCCUUCGGGUUCGCGAGAUUGGGAUCUUCUGGUGUACUUUCUCGUACGGUUAGUCAACAUCGGUUUUGAAUGUCAUAAAAUGACUGGAGGAAUGUAGCUUCGAACUCGUAUCGAAGUGUUAUAGCCUUUGGUAGGUGUGAUGUUUGAGACCGUGGAUUGCAACGGAUACCCUUCAUGGGCUAUUCGUCUGAUCUCUGAUACGUUGCCUUGACGUUGAAAGCUUGCUUACGAUGUUAGGGUAUUACGGUCAAAAGGUUAGAACGGAUUAAAUUCGUUAAGGAUGUUGACGUAAUGACUUUAAACGACCCGUCUUGAAACACGGACCA